AGAUUGAACGCUGGCGGCAGGCCUAACACAUGCAAGUCGAGCGGUAGAGAGGUGCUUGCAUCUCUUGAGAGCGGCGGACGGGUGAGUAAUGCCUAGGAAUCUGCCUAGUGGUGGGGGAUAACGUUCGGAAACGGACGCUAAUACCGCAUACGUCCUACGGGAGAAAGCGGGGGACCUUCGGGCCUCGCGCCAUUAGAUGAGCCUAGGUCGGAUUAGCUAGUUGGUGAGGUAAUGGCUCACCAAGGCGACGAUCCGUAACUGGUCUGAGAGGAUGAUCAGUCACACUGGAACUGAGACACGGUCCAGACUCCUACGGGAGGCAGCAGGUGGGAAUAGUUGGACAAGUGGGACGAAAGCCUGAUCCGAGCCAUCGGCCGUCGUGUGUAGAAGGUAAGGUUCGUACGGUAUUUAGUAAACGC
rnacentral:rRNA from 1 species